AACAAGGCGUACCUGCGGACCUGCGGAGGGAUCAUUACAGAGUUCAUGCCCUCACGGGUAGAUCUCCCACCCUUGAAUACUAUACCUUUGUUGCUUUGGCGGGCCGCUUUGGCUACUGGCUCUGGCUAGUAAGUGCCCGCCAAAGAACCCCAAAACUCUGAAUAUUAGUGUCGUCUGAGUACUAUAUAAUAGUUAAAACUUUCAGCAAUGGAUCU
rnacentral:misc_RNA from 1 species